rnacentral:rRNA from 1 species
AUUGAACGCUGGCGGCAGGCCUAACACAUGCAAGUCGAACGAGUGGCGGACGGGUGAGUAAUGUCUGGGAAACUGCCUGAUGGAGGGGGAUAACUACUGGAAACGGUAGCUAAUACCGCAUACCAUCAGAUGUGCCCAGAUGGGAUUGGCUUGUUGUUGGGGUAACGGCGCACCAAGGCCACGAUCCCUAGCGGGGCUGAGAGGUUGACCAGCCACGCGGGAACUGAGACACGGUGCAGACUCCUACGGGAGGCAGCGGUGGGGAAUAUUGCACAAUGGGCGAAAGCCUGAUGCAGACAGGCCGCGGGUAUGAAGAAGGCCUUCGGGUUGUAAAGUACGUUCAGCGGGGAGGCGUUACCCGCAGAAGAAGCACCGGCUAACUCCGUGCCAGCAGCCGCGGUAAUUC